rnacentral:rRNA from 1 species
UGGCCGGUUCGCUGCCCGCAACGUCGCAAGAGGUCCACUGAACCUUAUCAUUUAGAGGAAGGAGAAGUCGUAACAAGGUUUCCGUAGGUGAACCUGCGGAAGGAUCAU